rnacentral:rRNA from 1 species
AUUGGGGCGUAAAGGGCUCGCAGGCGGUUUCUUAAGUCUGAUGUGAAAGCCCCCGGCUCAACCGGGGAGGGUCAUUGGAAACUGGGGAACUUGAGUGCAGAAGAGGAGAGUGGAAUUCCACGUGUAGCGGUGAAAUGCGUAGAGAUGUGGAGGAACACCAGUGGCGAAGGCGACUCUCUGGUCUGUAACUGACGCUGAGGAGCGAAAGCGUGGGGAGCGAACAGGAUUAGAUACCCUGGUAGUCCACGCCGUAAACGAUGAGUGCUAAGUGUUAGGGGGUUUCCGCCCCUUAGUGCUGCAGCUAACGCAUUAAGCACUCCGCCUGGGGAGUACGGUCGCAAGACUGAAACUCAAAGGAAUUGACGGGGGCCCGCACAAGCGGUGGAGCAUGUGGUUUAAUUCAAAGCAACGCGAAGAACCUUACCAGGUCUUGACAUCCUCUGACAGUGCUAGAGAUAGGACGUCCCCUUCGGGGGCAGAGUGACAGGUGGUGCAUGGUUG